AAAAGUCUUGAUAUUCAUCUUUUGAAAGGAAGAUAAAAAAAGUGGGAGAAAUGAGAGAAAGGAAAAAAUAAGAAAAUGAUGAUAAUGGGAUGAAAUGAAAGUCUUUGUAGGAAGAGGCGAAAUAUUUGGCAAGAAGAAGAAGCAAAAAAAGAAAGUCUAGAAAUGCGAAAUAAGGAAUCAAAAGUGACCUGACCUAGAAGAGAGACUGGAAAAGAUUACAAAAAGAAACGAUCAAAGUUGAGAGAAGGAAAAAAAACGCGAUAAAAAAGUUCAUCAUUUUGUUAAAUCUUUUUUACUUCAUCUUCAAGUUUCUCAUUGAUAUUGGCCAGUAUUACUUGGCCGGGACCUGAACCACUCUCUCUGUCAAUUUAUACGCAUUUGUCUUUUGUGCUUUUUUUACUAGCAACUGUUCAACAAUGAAUUAUUGCUUGACAUGUAAAAUGAGGAGGAUGAUGAGGAUCAGGAUGAAAGAGUGAAGUGCUCUUGGGUCAAUCUAAUAAUAAUAACGAUCUUCUUGUGAUGGCAACUUGGCCCAGAAGAGCAAAAAUUUAGACUAUUUUUGGUGCCACAUUUUUUUGGGUAAAUUUAAAAGCCACUGUCUUUCACACUGACUUCAACUCCCUCGGUCUGUUUACAUGUUUUUUGAGCUAUUCCCAGGUCAUCUUCAUCAUUCAGUAAAGGUCAAUGGUGGGUUCCAACGGUUCCUUGCCAUUACUUAUUCCAUGCAAAAGAACAGCGAAUGUAAAUCUUUUUUCUCUCUCUCUCUUCACAUUUGUCUUCAUUGACAAGAGAGCAACUAGACACAACAAGAUUUAAGAUUUAAGAGGAAAGAAGAGAAGACGAAAAGCCUUGGGUCAAUGAAGAAAAGUCCUGUUGCAAGGAAAAUGCGAAAAUAACUUAUUCUCUCUUCUCUUUUUUUUAGGACACAACAAAGUGAGAAAAGUUAUCCUGGUUGAUGAAAAGAGCCAAAAAGUGAAAACUUAUGGAAUGGAAAAUGCAAUUUAAUUUAAACCUCUCAGGGUAACCAUUAAUUCAUGUUUUACCUUUUAACUUGACCGGAUCCUGAGGAGAAGAUUUGGACGCUUGCCUCUUUGUUUAUCAUCAUCACUCUCCAUGUUACUGUUGAAUAACCAUGAAUAUUGAGCAUAAAAGGCAGAAGCAAUUCAUGUAAUAAUAGAGUUGAUCUAAAGCCAGUCGUGCUUUCUGAUUACUUCAAAGUCCGUCAAAAUGUUCACGGAAAAUCCAUUUAAUUUCAACUGUAAUCAAUAUUCACAUUAUAAUCAAAGAGAGUAAAAAAUAUCAAACAAAAAAAGCAAGACCAACAUCCAAACGUCUAAUGCUCAUUGUAACGUCCUUAUGAUAAUGAUGAUUAACGUCGUGCUUCCAAUCAUCUAAUCCUCUUCUUGUUACAAUGUUACCUUACGUAUCAUCGUGAAUUCUGGUCAACACAGGAAGGUAACAAGAAGAGGGUAAGAAGCAGAAAAGAGAUGAUAAUCAUGAUGAUAAAAGAGAAGGAAAAAAAGAAAGAAAAGAGAAUAAGAAAGAAAAGGAAAAGAGAAGAAAAAAGUUGAGAAUAUUUUACAAAGACUUAAGACGUUCCUACCUUACCUUGCCCAAACUAGAUGGGCUCCUUCAUCGGGUAAUAGGUCAACACCCAAUUACGCCGUUUCGUUGACCUGAAAGCGAAAAGAAGAAGAAAGGAAGAGAAGAAGAAAAAAGUAUCCAGUGAAAGGUAAAACCAAAGAGAUGAUGAUGACUCUGGUAAACCUUAGCACGUUAUGAACCUUUUUUUUGCAGGUAAAAGGAAUCAACAUUGUCAACAUUCUUUAAAAAGCCUGGGAAAAUUUUUUUUUACUCCAAAAUCUAAACUCAACAUUUUCUUUUAUUUCACUUUUUCUUUUCUUACCUGUGUUCGUCUUGAUCGUCUUCUUCCUUUUCUUCAACAUUCUUCUCUCCGCCCUGAUUUCCUUUCAACAAGAGCAAACCCUUUUUACCUUGAUUAUCAUUUUCUGGUAACCUGGAUUCAAUGAGACGCCAUUCUUACCCUUUUUAUGUAUUACCAACAAAGGGUCAGAGGUUAUUCAAGUUUCAAUCAUUUUUUUACCUUUUUUUAUACCUUCUUCAAGGUUCAUCUUUGUGCCAAUAUUUUCACCUUUAUAUUGAAAGCUUUGUUAUUAGAGAAGCGAUUGGAAAUGGAUGUUAAUGAUAACAUUUUUUUUCAUCUUAAUUGUCAUCUUUUUAUUUAUCGAUUGUUCAUUUUAGGCAACAAUUGAUGGACAUUGAAAAGGAAAGCUGAUUUAAUGCUACAAAUUGCAUUUUUAACAAUCAAUCUUAAUUCAUGGUUAAUCAAUGGCUCAGGUUAAUGUUGAGCAACAAUUGAAUUUGAAAAGAUGAAAGUUUCAAGUUUAAUAUUAAUAAUAUUCAACUAUCAAUGUGAAUAUAAAUAUUAAUGAGAGCAAUUAACUCGUUCAUUAAUCUUGAUAACUUGAGAUUGAAAGUGAAUGCGUUCAUGUUUAAUCAAUUGAGUUUACUUGCGCUUUUCCUUAGUUUAACAUUUAGAUAAACAUUGAAAGGCUGAGAAAAUAUCAAAGUUUAUAUCAAAAUUGGCAUUAAUUCAGGAAGUUAACCAAUUGAUUCAAGUUCAUGAUCACAUGUAAAUGCUUUCUCUAGUUCAGGGUUUCAUUGAAAGAGCAAAAUUAACAAACAAAAUGUGCCAAAACAAUCUAUUAAUACAAUCAUCAAGACAAUAACCUUUAACCAGAAAAAUUAAUACAACAAAGGAAAAGUUGACUUUCAUUUUUUUCAGUUUCAGCUCAACUUGUGAUAACUUUAAGCUGAAAUUGAAGCUGAACUGCCAAUGUUUGCAAGUUGCAAUGGAUGGAAACAUUGGUGAAUACUGUUGAUUGAUAAACAAGUGAAAAUGAUGUUUGCAGAUUUCAACUGAAUAAAUUCAUUUCACUAUCAUUAUUGUAAUACACUUUUUUUGUUGUUGUUUUUUCUUCUUCUUUCAAGGUGAAUUCAAGUGAAUCAGAAGAGGUUAGUAAGACGAUGAUAACAUGAUGAGAUAAAGAAAAACAAGUAAUGAUACGGAUGAAGAGAAACUGGGCUAUUCGGACAUUUUUCAUGAAGAACGGAACUUACUUGUUCAACUAUUAUUAGAGGAAUAAAAAUACUGGCAAAUACUGGUUCGGAUAAACGGUUUACCUUUGAUUCUUCUUCUUCUUCUUGAUGCUCUUAAUUUUUAUCCUGGAUCAUCAUCGGUUAACACGGUAUUCCAACAGCAGGAAGCAUUAACUCACAAUUUGUUAUUUCACUGUUUUUUUGCUCAACCUUUACUUUGCGCUUGUUCAAUUUACCUUGCGGCUCAAUUGUAAAGCCUCUCCUUGUCCUAAUCAGAAGGCAUAAAGUACACAUUGAACAAGAUAAUGGCUAGUAAUAAUGGUUUAAAGAAUCAGGAUCAUCUUCAGGAUAUAAUCACAACAUUGAUUAUCCCAGUUUCAAGUUUAAUCUAAUUUAGUCAACAAUCAAUUUGCAAGUUUCUUUCAAAGUGGGUUUCAGUUUAAUUGCUUAAAGAUGCAUAUGCAAAUGCUAACCAUUUAUCAACCCACAAGUGUCAACAUUGAAUGGCAAAAAGCAGCGCAACAAUCAACAAGAAAAAGUGUGAAAAUUGUUGUCAAUUGUAUUAACCUUUUUCCUUGAUCAGUUGAUUGUGGAUAUUGAAGAAGUAAAACAAACCCAGAAAUGAUGAAAGAAUGUGAAUUGAUGAAAGGAAUAAUCAAAA